AGCAUUUUUUAAUCCAAAGGUCACAACGAGUGACCAUGUUUUCAGCUUGGAAUCCGUCUGUUUCCAUCGCCAGCUUUUUCAAUCUUUGAAGGGACAGGAGAAAAAACAAAAGCCUAACCUUGCUUCAGAGUGUUGUGUUUUUGGAAAGAUUAAAUGAUGAGAUGAAAAUGCUAAGCAGAACCUGCCCAGAUCUGUGAGCUGCUCUCCUCAUGGAGCUAUGAACUCAUUCCAGGUGAUUCUCCCGACCCCCUGAGCUUUCCUAAGGGCUUUCCCAUUGCCACAGGUCUGCAUUUACAGCAACCUCCUCUGCUUUUGAGCAGAAACGCUGCAAUGCUGACUAACCUGUUUGUUUCUCGUUGCUUCUUUUUAGGUGCUGAUGUACUUCUUGGGUUUUCUUUGUGGUUUAUCUCAGCCGAGGCUCAGCCAGGGUCUGGGUGCUGACGCCUUCGGUGUUCCACUGCCAAACAGCAGCGAGCUGCAGUAGUGUCAGCUCACCAGUGAUGUGCAGACACCUGGAAGUCCCUCAGCAAAGCCAUGUUGGGCAGUGAGUCCUGUCUGAGCGGUGCUCCUGGAGCUGACUGCGUCCCAUACUCACCAGGUGUGCACCUGGCACUCACUGAGAUACCACUUAAUGGCUUGUGGGUGGAAGGAAGGAAGGCUGGCACCCAGGCCCUUCUGGAGCACACAGCACAGGAGCAGAAGCAAGCCAUGCUGCCAACUGCAUGAAAAUGAGACUAGAAUGAAACCCAGAUGAUGUUCUGCCCUUCCAAGAGAAAAAGAAUGGCUUCAGAGACUCAAAUCGCUGUGUAGGUGUGUUCCACAAACUGCCUGAACUUCACCAGCACUACAUUGGGUCAUCUCUCCCACCUGGGAAGGUCACCCUGAACCACGAUCCUGUUGCCCGUAGUGACACGUUGGGAAAUUUCAUUUAGUUCCAGUUUUCUCAUUUGUCUUAUGUGAAAGUUAAAUGUGAUGGUGUCAAAAGCCUUCCUGCACCAAGAUAUAU
rnacentral:lncRNA from 1 species